rnacentral:lncRNA from 1 species
AUGGAAAUCGAAAGGGCGUCCGUUACCUCACCAAUGGCCUCAAAGUUUACUAUUUGCCUCUGAGAGUCAUGUACAACCAAUCUACAGCCACGACUCUCUUUCACAGUCUGCCAUUGCUCAGGGACUGAUUUGCUUAGUGGUAUAAUACCUGAACUCUGUCAGAAAUACCAAGAAUUAAACUUCCUGAUUGGAGGAGAGGGACCAAAGAGGAUCAUUUUGGAAGAAGUCCGGGAGAGAUACCAGCUGCACGACAGGUAUUCGUGGCUUCCAAGUGGUGUAAAACUGGUAGUUGUUUGUUUGCUUUUGACUACAUGCCUGACUUAGGUGUGCGCCUGCUUUUGUUUAUAAGGCAUGUUUCUGUGAGUUUUUAUCAAAUAAGAAAGCUCACAGAAUACACAUCUGUUGUCCAUUGGCUGAAUAUUGACUUGGGAGUGGUUGGAGGCCUGAAGAAAGGCACAGGGCUGGAGGGAGGACUUCGCUUGGAAAUGGUUGCAGGUUUCCAAGACAUCUUACAUUGUGGUUUAAGUGUUAUGAUCCAGUCAUGUAAAUUGCUGUACACGUACAGGUUUGGACAUCUCUUGUCCUCCAUAAUUUCUUUAACAUACAAUGUGUUUAUAUGUGAAGUGCUGAUGAUUUAAAAGGGUUAUUUUUCCCAUUGAGAAACAACACUUUUAACAUUAUAAUUAUGAAUGUGUUAUUAAUAUGUCCAUUAGCCGGGCAUGGUGGUGCAGGCCUUUAAUCCCA